UUCAAUCAACAGCAUUUGCAAUCGUCAGAAUGCAAUGAUUCCGCCCGCUCAUCUUGUGGCCUUAAUCUGCUGCUAACAGAAGCUGCUGUUGUUGAUGAAGCCAAAGAGACACACUGCCCAUCUGCUACGAAUGUGCUUCUGACACCAGCUGCUGUUGAUGGUGAGUUCUUACUGCAUUUAUUACUUACCGUAGUUGCAAACGUGCUUUAUGCCUUCAUUGAUGUUUUAUAAUUUGCAGGCUAUGGAGCCAAGACUGAUGCCACUCAAGCACGGUUAGG
rnacentral:lncRNA from 1 species